CUGGCCUUGUCUCCAUACAGCUUUAGGUGAUGCAGGGUUUUUGAAUUUGGCCUCUAUUUCAAGCACUUUCUGAAAAAGAAAAGCAUAACCAGGAUAGUUCCAAGGCAGACAGUUCUUCUGUUUAUUUUUUCACAGGAGCGUGUGAGAAAUGGAGACAGAGGGAUUGGAGAGAUGAAGAUGGGGGAUCCGUGGUCUCUGAAGCCCCCAAUGCUUGUGUGAGGGUGAGAGCUCAGGUUUGCUUUUUCCAGUGAAGCUUUCUACCAGAAAAAAGGCAAAGAAGAUGGUUUUUCUGAUAAAGUCCCAUGAGAAUGCUCUGAUGACACUGGAAAAGCUUUCUUUCAUUCAUCCACCCACUGGUGACUUGGAAAAUAGCCUCUUCACCUUCAAAUGAGAGAAUAAUGCUGAAUUUUUCUGAAUUUCUAAGACGGGAAGUGAUGUAUCACUAAAACGGUGAGCUCUCACUGAAACAGGAAAUCUUCUACCAGUGUGGGUCUGAGUUGAUCUCUCCCUCCCUCCCUCCAAC
rnacentral:lncRNA from 1 species